CCUACGGGGGGCAGCAGUGGGGAAUAUUGCACAAUGGGGGAAACCCUGAUGCAGCGACGCCGCGUGAAGGAAGAAGUAUUUCGGUAUGUAAACUUCUAUCAGCAAGGAAGAUAAUGACGGUACUUGACUAAGAAGCCCCGGCUAACUACGUGCCAGCAGCCGCGGUAAUACGUAGGGGGCAAGCGUUAUCCGGAUUUACUGGGUGUAAAGGGAGCGUAGGUGGCAUGGCAAGUCAGAUGUGAAAGCCCGGGGCUCAACCCCGGGACUGCAUUUGAAACUGCCAGGCUGGAGUGCAGGAGAGGUAAGUGGAAUUCCUAGUGUAGCGGUGAAAUGCGUAGAUAUUAGGAGGAACACCAGUGGCGAAGGCGGCUUACUGGACUGUAACUGACACUGAGGCUCGAAAGCGUGGGGAGCAAACAGGAUUAGAUACCCGUGUAGUC
rnacentral:rRNA from 1 species